rnacentral:rRNA from 1 species
CCUACGGGGGGCAGCAGUGGGGAAUAUUGCACAAUGGGGGAAACCCUGAUGCAGCGACGCCGCGUGAGUGAAGAAGUAUUUCGGUAUGUAAAGCUCUGUCAGCAGGGAAGAAAAUGACGGUACCUGACCAAGAAGCCCCGGCUAACUAAGUGCCAGCAGCCGCGGUACUACGUAGGGGGCAAGCGUUAUCCGGAUUUACUGGGUGUAAAGGGAGCGUAGGGGGGAAGGCAAGUCUGGAGUGAAAGGCGGGGGCUAAACCCCCGGACUGCUCUGGAAACUGCCAGGCUGGAGUGCAGGAGAGGUAAGUGGAAUUCCUAGUGUAGCGGUGAAAUGCGUAGAUAUUAGGAGGAACACCAGUGGCGAAGGCGGCUUACUGGACCGUAACUGACGUUGAGGCUCGAAAGCGUGGGGAGCAAACAGGAUUAGAUACCCCUGUAGUC